AACGAGGCCGACCUGCGGCUGAGUUACCUGCGGAAGGAUCAUUACCGAGUUUACAACUCCCAAACCCAAUGUGAACCAUACCAAACUGUUGCCUCGGCGGGGUCACGCCCCGGGUGCGUCGCAGCCCCGGAACCAGGCGCCCGCCGGAGGGACCAACCAAACUCUUUACUGUAGUCCCCUCGCGGACGUUAUUUCUUACAGCUCUGAGCAAAAAUUCAAAAUGAAUCAAAACUUUCAACA
rnacentral:misc_RNA from 1 species